rnacentral:rRNA from 1 species
GAUUUCCUACGGGGGGCAGCAGUGGGGAAUGUUGCACAAUGGGGGAAACCCUGAUGCAGCAACGCCGCGUGAGUGAUGACGGCCUUCGGGUUGUAAAGCUCUGUCUUCAGGGACGAUAAUGACGGUACCUGAGGAGGAAGCCACGGCUAACUACGUGCCAGCAGCCGCGGUAAUACGUAGGUGGCGAGCGUUGUCCGGAUUUACUGGGCGUAAGGGGAGCGUAGGCGGACUUUUAAGUGAGAUGUGAAAUACUCGGGCUCAACUUGAGUGCUGCAUUUUAAACUGGAAGUCUAGAGUGCAGGAGG